rnacentral:tRNA from 1 species
GUGCCGGUCCGACCGGCUUGAUCGACGUUGUUUGACGGACGGCCGCGACGCAAGCGAAGGAUGGCGGGCGCGGUGCGACCCGCGCCGCCAUCCC